UCUAGCAUAUGUUGUUGGUAGAUUGCUCGCUUUAAGUUUUAUUAUUGCUUGCAUUGGUUGAGUUUGCAUCAUUUAGAAUAAUAUUGCUUGCAUUAGUUUCUUAAGCGCAACUAGGCAUGUGGAAUGGUAAACCCAUGCUUGUAUUGUUGCCUUAAGUAUUUUGAGUAUGUGUUGGUAGAAAAGUAGGGUUGGUUUCUAGUAUUUUUAGGAGCCUUAAGAACUGUAAAUAGUGGAACUUAGGAUUUUAGAUGAACCCUAGAAGUUUAGGUGGGAACACUUUACCCGGUUGAUCUUGUGGUGUUUUAUGGGCGUGUUGGGGAAAAAGCAAGGGUUGGUGUGUCAGGUAAGUAAGAUGUUAUGUGAUAGGGAAUCACAUACGUAAGAAUGAAACUUUAGUUGUGCCGUGUGAAAUCCGACCCCUAGAUCAGCAAGCAUGUCAAGGCAUCAUGUGAGAUAGGAAAUCACAUUUUAGAAGAGGAAUAAGAUAACCACUGUAAAGAAGAGAGAGCCGCUGCCAAACCUACUAUGGGAACAGCCCUAGUGUGGUUGAUAUUGCCAAUAGCCAUGAAGGAAGUACCCUUCACCGUGAUGAUCAAAGAAAAUGGAAAGAGCCGAUAGUAGAUAGUCGUAAAGGGAAUGAAGGGAAAGAGAGAGAGAGAGUGUCGUAGUUAUUUUAAUCAUGAGUAGACGCCAAGAGAGAGUGUGCAGACUAUUCUCGUAAGGACGAAGGGGAUCAACACAAAGUUAGAAAGGUCAUGUCGACCAAACGGAGAAGCAAUGGACUUCUGGCGGUACCGAGCAGACUUUCAGGUGAUGGUGUAAUCAAAGAAGAAGAUGUUGGUUGACCCAAACCGUAAGAUUUAAGAAGACUUGUGUGGUAAUGAAGUAAGGAAGAAGCAAAGACAACAAGAUGACAUAGAAAUUGCAGUUUCAGAGAAUGUGAAGCCCAAGACAAAGAGGAUUGUAUUAACUCGAAGGACGGAGUUAGUAUUUCCAGGGUGUAGAAGCAGGAAGUUUGUUGGAAGAGCUAGAAGGACACUAGCUCAAGAUCAAGUCAUAAUUCCAAGGAAGUAAGAAAUGACCAUUGUCAUUUCCAGAGAAUCAAAGAGAAGAAGAGGGAUGAAGCUCAAGACAAAGCCCUAGUUAUCCGAUGGAAAGGAUAAUUAGAAGAAGAGAGUAAGGCAUUCAAUCAUGAUAAGUGUGUAUUUUGCAUGUUUUCAGCAUCCAUUUGUCAUCACUUUAGCAUCAUAUCAUCAUUGUUUUAUACCAUUUCUCAUUAUUUGUCAUCACUUUACAUGUUUAGGAUAGAUUUGCAUGCAUGUUACAUAUUUGCGUUGAUUUCAGGUGAUUUGGAGCUGUUGACGAGCUAUCUGUAAGAAGCGAACCUGAUCAUGACAAAACCACUCGACCCAGAGGUCGAGUAGGAGCUUCAAGAUCUCAAGAGACCACUCGACCCCCAGGUCGAGUAGAAGACAUCACAACUUCACCUCACCACUCGACCACGAGGUCGAGCGUCUUCAUCUCCAUCACCUGACCAUCACUCGAUCACAUCACUCGACCCCGAGGUCGAGUGUCUUCAUCCCAUCACUUGACCAUCACUCGAUCACAUCACUCGACCCUGAGGUCGAGUGUCUUCAUCCCAUCACCUGACCAUCACUCGAUCACAUCACUCGACCCCGAGGCCGAGUGUCUUCACCUUCAUUGCCAUACCACUACUCGACCUCAUCACUCCACCUGGAGGUCGAGUAUCACUAUCACCACCACUCGACUGCAUACUCGAUGAUAAGCUUCAAAGCCUUCUUCAUUCCGCACUCAACCAGACACUCGAGCACAAGGAAGAAAAGAAGACUCUAGCUGUUCACUCAACCUCCCACUCGACCACAUGGGUCGAGUACAGUUCUUAAUCCGUCCCAAUACUUCGUCGUUUUGAGUAUUAGGGUUUCGGAAUAUUUGGCUAUAAGUAGCAUGUACUUCACAUUUUCGCAGCCAAGUUUUUAUCUAGUUUUAUUCCGCAGACCUUGUGUUCUAAACCUUUUGUAAUCCGGAUUUCUCUUUAUCUAUUCAGUAUUCAGUAUUCAGCUUUUGUUCUUGAUUUCGUUUACUGUUGUUCAUUCUGUUAUCAUCCUGCUGUUACACUGUUGUUAUCAUGUUUUCAACUUGUUCAACGUUUAUGCUUUCUGUUAUGAUGUCUGAGUAAUGAAUAGGUUUCUGAGGAUGGGUUAGAGUAGUGUAGGAUUCUCAGUAUGCUAGGUGAUUGAGUAUUGAUUGAUAGAUCCCUUCUGGAUUAGUUGUUUUAAUGCCUAUUGCUUUCUGAUCAACUGGAAUUUGAGCCCAGACAUUUCUGCGCCCAAAAGGUGUUCGAUGAAAUGUCUGAACCACUGAUUCCAGAGAUUCGUGACCCUGUACCAAGGUAUUGGCUUUAACUUGUUGAUUCGUAAUGCCUGUUAGGUUAGCUCUCGUCAAUGGUGAUUGAGUCUGAGACUAGGUUAACUUGAGAGUCUCUAUUGCGGUGGUACUUAGAUUUGGUUAAUGAACUUGUUGUCUAGGGUUAAUUUAUUGAGCAAAUCAAUCACCUGUAAACUGAGGAAACGAAACUACUCAAUUACCCCAUCCUCGGGAAUUCUUUAUCUGAUUGAAUUCUUUGUUUACUCUACUGUUGUUUACUGCAUCUUGUCAUUUGUUGCUUAGUUUCGGCAAUUCUUUACUGUUACUCGACCAGAUACUCGACCACCCAGUUGUCUGGCAACAGACUGUGCAGUCGAGUAUCCAUGUUGUACUUUCUGACUGUUACUCGACCAGAUACUCGACCACCCAGCUGUUUGGCAACAGACUGUGCAGUCGAGUAUCCCUGUUAUACUUUAUGUCUUUUACUCGACGUGUCACUCGACCUCACCCAGUGCUCUGCAAAGAGCUGUGUCGGUCGAGUGUCUUUUGUUUCUGCUUGAAUUUCUGUUUUCUACAUGUUCACUUAGAACUGCUAGAACACACUAAAACCUGUUAUUGCUUGGCUUGACUUAGUGACUUCUGAUCAUAUCUUGAUUGUUAGCAUCACACCCAUUUGGAUUGACAACCUAAAAUACUACAACGAUAUGAUUGGUGUUUUAGGAUAAUUGACUAAAAACCUAUUAUCAAUUUGGCGCUGUUGCCAAUUGGGUGUUUGUUUGUUACAUUUGAGAUUUGAGACUUGCUUAGAUCAAGUUCUUUUUCAAUUUUCUUUUCGGUUACUAACUGUGUGUUUUUCUUGUUGUCUUCUUGAUCCAUGUACACCUCUGCUGUAUGCGAACUCGAUCAACGGGCAAUCAGAACCUCCUUUUCAACGACAACAUCGACCGCAUAGCUCGUGAACUCAGAGAAAGGAGAAACACAGUCAACCCUGUAUCUCAGCAACCACUCGAUAUGGCUGACGAACAGAAUCAACAAAAUGGCCAUGCCAACAUUGGUGCUGGAGAUGCACCACGUGAUCACCGUCAGAGGAAAGGAAUUGCACCUCCUGCUAUCCAGAACAACAACUUCGAGAUUAAGAGUGGUCUCAUCUCGAAUAUUCAGGGGAAUAAAUUCCAUGGUCUGCCAAUGGAGGAUCCACUCGACCACCUAGAUGAAUUCGAUAGGCUCUACAACCUGACAAAGAUCAAUGGUGUCAGUGAAGACGAAUUAAAGCUCUGUUUGUUCCCAUUCUCCUUGGGCGACAAAGCACACAUCUGGGAGAAGAAUCUGCCCCAUGACUCAAUCACCACUUGGGAUGAUUGCAAGAAGGCUUUUCUAUCAAAGUUCUUCUCCAAUGCCAGAACUGCAAGACUCAGAAAUGAGAUUUCUAGUUUCUCACAGAAGACUGAUGAAAGCUUCUGUGAAGCAUGGAAGCGUUUAAAGGGUUACACCAACCAAUGCCCUCAUCAUGGCUUUACUAAAGCCUCUCUGCUCAGCACUCUUUACAGAGGAGUCCUACCACACAUCAGAAUACUUCUGGAUACCGCUAGCAAUGGGAAUUGGUUGAGAACUUGGCUCAAUCAGAUGGUAAUUACAACGAGGACUGUGAUAGGACCGUCAGAGGCACAUCAGACUCUGAUGACAAACACUGGAAGGAGAUCAAAGCGCUGAAUGACAAGCUGGACAGGAUUCUUCUUAGCUAGCAGAAGCAUGUGCACUUCCUUGUUGAUGACGAGCAGUUUCAAGUCCAAGAUGGGGAGGGUAACCAGUUGGAAGAAGUCAGCUACAUCAACAACAACCAGGGUGGCUACAAAGGAUACAACAACUUCAAAACCAACAAUCCCAACCUCUCCUACCGCAGCACCAUCGUUGCUAAUCCUCAGGAUCAAGUGUAUCCUCCACAGCAACAACAAGGUCAGAACAAACCUUUUGUUCCCUACAACCAAGGUUUCGUUCCUAAACAGCAAUUUCAGGGGAACUACCAGCCGCCACCACCACCUCGGUUUGCACAUCAGCAAAACCAAGGUCCUGCUGCUCCUGAGGCUGAUAUGAAACAAAUGCUACAACAGCUGCUUCACGCGCAAGCCUCUGGCUCCAUGGAGAUGGCAAAGAAGAUAUCUGAGUUACAUAACAAGUUGGACUGUAGCUACAAUGAUCUCAAUGUCAAGAUGGAAACACUAAAUACCAAAGUCCGAUACUUAGUGGGACAUUCUGCAUCUUCUUCAGCUCCAAAACAGACAAGCCAACUACCAGGCAAAGCAGUUCAGAAUCCAAAAGAAUAUGCUCAUGCUAUCACACUGCGUAAUGGAAAAGCACUUCCAACUAGGGAGGAACCAAAGACGGUCAUUGAGGACAGUGAAGAUCAAGAUGGGGAGGAUUUAAGUCUCGAGAACGAUCAAGCAGACAAACCACUCGAGCAACCACUCGACCAGUCACUCGAGCAACCACUCGACCAGUCACUCGAGCAACCACUCGACCUGUCACUCGAGCAACCACUCGAUCUGCCACUCGACAACGUUACUCGACCAACAACUCGACCUAUCUUCCCAGUAGCAUCACCAACUGCUCCAAAACCAGUUGCUGUCAAAAACAAAGAAAAGGUCUUUGUCCCUCUUCCCUACAAACCACAACUUCCAUUUCCUAGCUAUCACAAGAAUGCGUUGGCAGAUAAAUAUAGAGCUAUGUUUGCCAAGAAUAUUAAGGAGGUUGAGUUGGCAGACUAAGAUCAUCUUAACAGUGCUUUAACCAAAAGUGGUGAAGAUGGGUUUCUGCAUUAGGAAACAUUGGGAUACCAGAAGCUGUUAGACUCCCAUAAAGUGAUGGAAGAAUCAGAACCCUUUGAGGAAUUGAAUGGACCAGCAACGGAGGUAAUGGUAAUGAGCGAAGAAGGGUCAACUCGAGUUCAACCUGCACUCUCGAGGACGUACUCGACCAGCCACUCGGCCUUGUCUACCAACGAAUCUAGGGAGCCGAUCAUUCCAACUUCAGAUGACUGGUCUGAACUUAAGGCACUGAAGGUUGAUCUCAAACCACUUCCUAAAGGUCUAAGGUACGCAUUCCUUGGUCCAAACUCUACUUACCCUGUGAUCAUUAAUGCUGAGUUAAAUAGUGAUGAAGUGAACCUGCUAUUAUCUGAGCUUAGAAAGUAUAGGAGAGCGAUUGGUUAUUCAUUAUCCGACAUUAAGGGAAUUUCACCUAGUUUAUGCAACCAUAGGAUCCAUCUUGAAAACGAAUCCUAUUCUAGCAUUGAACCACAGAGGAGGUUAAAUCCCAAUUUGAAAGAAGUAGUGAAAAAAGAAAUUUUGAAACUGCUUGAUGCUGGUGUCAUCUACCCUAUCUCUGAUAGUACUUGGGUUUCUCCAGUGCAUUGCGUCCCUAAAAAGGGUGGAAUGACUGUUGUCAAAAAUGAAAAGGAUGAACUGAUCCCUACUAGAAUUAUAACUGGUCAUAAAAUGUGCAUUGAUUAUAGGAAGUUGAAUGCUACAUCUAGGAAAGAUCAUUUUCCUUUACCAUUCAUUGACCAAAUGCUUGAACGUUUAGCUAAUCAUCCAUACUAUUGCUUUCUUGAUGGAUACAGUGGUUUCUUUCAAAUACCAAUUCACCCUAAUGAUCAAGAAAAAACAACUUUCACAUGUCCUUAUGGAACUUUUGCUUAUAAGAGAAUGCCAUUUGGUUUAUGCAAUGCUCCUACAACAUUUCAGAGGUGUAUGACCUCUAUACUUUCAGACUUAAUCGAGGAGAUGGUGGAGGUUUUCAUGGACAAUUUUUCGGUCUAUGACCCCUCUUUCUCCUCAUGUUUGUUGAAUCUUGGCAGGGUAUUGACCAGGUGCGAAGAGACGAAUCUUGUUCUCAAUUGGGAAAAGUGUCAUUUCAUGGUGAAUGAAGGCAUAGUGCUGGGUCACAAGAUAUCAGAGAAGGGUAUAGAGGUUGACAAAGGAAAAGUUGAAGUGAUGAUGCAGUUGCAGCCACCAAAAACGGUGAAGGACAUCAGAAGUUUCCUUGGUCAUGCUGGGUUCUACAGAAGAUUUUUUAAAGACUUCUGCAAGAUAUCCUUCCAAACCAUCAAGGAUGCUUUGGUAUCUGCUCCGGUUGUUCGAGCGCCUAAUUGGGACUAUCCAUUUGAGAUCAUGUGUGAUGCAUUAGAUUACGCAGUAGGAGCUGUUUUAGGCCAGAAAAUAGACAAGAAGCUUCAUGUCAUAUAUUACGCCAGCCGAACGUUGGAUGACGCACAGGGAAGAUAUGCAACAACUGAGAAGGAGCUUCUAGCUGUUGUAUUCGCAUUUGAGAAGUUCAGAAGCUAUUUGGUUGGAUCAAAGGUAACGUCUAUACAGACCAUGCAGCUUUGAGGCAUUUGUAUGCCAAGAAGGAUACUAAACCAAGACUGUUGAGAUGGAUACUUUUACUGCAAGACUUUGACAUGGAGAUAGUAGAUAAGAAAGGCAUUGAAAAUGGUGCAGCUGACCAUCUCUCAAGGAUGAGAAUUGAAGAACCCCUUCCGAUAGACGAUUCAAUGCCAGAAGAGCAGCUCAUGGUUGUAGAGUUCUUGGGAAGGAGCUACAGUGGGAAAGAGUUCCACCAACUGAAUGCUGUUGAAGGAGAAUCUCCAUGGUAUGCUGAUCACGUCAAUUACUUGGCGUGCGGAGUAGAGCCUCCCAACCUGACAAGUUAUGAAAGGAAGAAGUUUUUCAGAGACAUACACCAUUACUACUAGGAUGAGCCUUAUCUUUACACUCUCUGUAAAGAUAAGAUCUACAGGAGAUGUGUCUCAGAAGAUGCAGUGGAAGUUAUCCUGCUGCAUUGCCAUGGCUCAGCAUAUGGUGGUCACUUCGCGACGUUCAAGACAGUGUCCAAGAUUCUUCAAGCAGGGUUUUGGUGGCCAACAAUGUUUAAGGACGCUCAGGAGUUUGUUUCAAAGUGUGAUUCAUGCCAGAGAAAAGGCAACAUCAGCAGAAGAAAUGAGAUGCCUCAGAAUCCAAUCUUGGAAGUUGAGAUCUUUGAUGUAUGGGGGAUUGAUUUUAUGGGUCCAUUCCCAUCUUCAUACGGUAAUAAAUAUAUACUGGUCGCCGUAGACUACGUAUCAAAGUGGGUCGAAGCUAUUGCUAGUCCUACCAACGAUGCAAAAGUUGUGCUGAAGCUAUUCAAGACCAUAAUCUUCCCAAGAUUUGGAGUUCCCAGGGUAGUAAUCAGUGAUGGCGGGAAGCAUUUCAUCAACAAGGUUUUUGAAAACCUCUUGAAGAAGCAUGGAGUAAAGCACAAGGUCGCCACUCCCUAUCAUCCAUAGACAAGCGGGCAGGUUGAGAUCUCCAAUAAGGAGAUAAAAACAAUUCUGGAAAAGACUGUUGGGAUUACAAGGAAAGACUGAUCUGCAAAGCUAGAUGAUGCAUUAUGGGCUUACAGGACAGCCUUCAAGACCCCCAUUGGUACAACUCCUUUCAAUCUUCUCUAUGGAAAAUCAUGUCAUCUACCUGUUGAGCUCGAGUACAAAGCAAUGUGGGCGGUAAAACUUCUGAACUUUGACAUAAAAACUGCUGAGGAGAAGCGAUUGAUCCAACUCAGUGACCUCGAUGAGAUCCGUCUAGAAGCUUAUGAGAGUUCUAAAAUCUACAAGGAGAGAACCAAGCCUUUCCAUGACAAGAAGAUCAUCACUAAGGAUUUCCAGGUUGGUGAUCAGGUGCUGCUAUUCAACUCUCGCUUGAAACUCUUUCCAGGAAAACUUAAAUCCAGAUGGUCUGGCCCCUUCUGUAUCACUGAGGUCCGUCCUUAUGGUGCAGUCAUUCUAGCUGGUAAGAGUGGAGAUUUUACAGUAAAUGGUCAAAGGCUCAAGAAAUACUUAACAGACCAAAUCCUUACAGAGGUGACAUCGGUUCAUUUCCAGGACCUUCUUGAUGAUUAAAGGAGUAAAGGAGUCGAGCUAAUGACUUUAAAGAAGCUCACUUGGAAGGAAGUCCCAUGACUAUCUCUGUAAAUAAAUUUUUCUUGUCUUGUUAUUUUUGAUUUGUUUUAGUUGUGUUUGUGGUUCUCAGAGACAAGGGAACAACGUAGAGAUAGAGUAAAAAUUCAAAACUUUUACUCUAUAGAAGACCUAGAGAUCGAGUGUAUAACCUGGUGGAGUACAAAAUUUUGAAAGUUUUCUGUUGCAUCUGGAGACCCGUAAUUCGAGUACGUCAGUCGAGUAUACGUGAUGUUUAAAAUCCAAAAUUUUUAAGAACAUCACUAUAGUCGACCAACAGGAGCUACGGAGACUUGUAAGGAUUUCUUGUAGUUUACAGUAGACCACGCGUUGAGGAUAAGCUGGAGAGAGAAUCUAAAACUCAACCUCCACCACUCAUUUUGAAACUUCACUCGACUUCACAAAAUCCACUCGACCUACCUCUUUUCAUCUCACCACCGACACUCCAAAGAGCCACUCUGUCCAGAUCAGUUCACUCGACCACCGUGAAUCACUCGACCUCCGCGCCGCAGUCACCAGACCAUAUCUUCCGUCACUAGACGUCCGAGAACCACUCGACCUCCGCGCCGCCGGCACCAGAUCAUUUCCUACUUCACUCGACUAUCCCUGCACCGCCGUAAUCAAGUACUCCUCCUCGUUCACCGUCGAAGUCUCCUGGACCACUCGAUUACGAGAAAGCUACUCGACCACAAAGUAUCACUCGACCUCGAGUAUUCACUCGACCUCUGCAGCAGCAACUUGGCCUCUUGUUCUUGAAAGCAACGGAGCCCUGAAGAAUUGUCAAAGUGUUUACUCGACCUCUAGGCUUCACCGGCUGAACCCGACAUCCACAAUUCACUCGACCUCCAGGAACAGCUCAGGUUACUCGAGUACAGAAUUGUACUCGAUCAAUUCAAUCUAUUUCAUUGCCUAUUGAUAACAAUUUUGGUUUCAUUGCUAUCUUUGAGACUAACCUAUUGACAUUUGAGCUUUGAGUUUUAAAUUUCUACAGGAGAAUCAUGAGCAAUUAUAGUGGCAGCUCUUCUGUUGAUCCUGACUACAACAUGGAUGAGACAGAGUCGUCAUCUUCAAGGCCAGAGAGAGAACAGAGAGAAUAUGAAAGCUUCAGAAGGAAAGCUGAGAUAGCCCGAGGAAAGAGAGCGAUGACAGAGAGGUAUGAGCUUAUAGAAGAAGAUCUGGAAGACGAGUACAUGCCUGAACAGACUCGCAGAUCUACCAAACUUCUGCACAAGCCCGACGUAUUGCUUGCUGAGGAAUAUGUUAGGCUUUUCAAGCUGAAUGAGUUCUGUAGCACGAGGUAUCCUUGCUUGACCAAACUUGCACAACUCGGAUUGUUGGAAGAUGUUCAGCACCUGUACCAUAGUUGUCAUCUAGACACUCUGAUGGCUUAUCCGUAUGUAGUGUAUGAAGAUGAGACAAUACAAUUCCUCUCCACGCUGCAAGUAGACCUCUACCAAGGUAUGACCUCUGAUGAGUUGGAUUGUGAAGGAUUGGGAUUCUUGCGAUUCUCUGUGUAUGGUCAUGAGUAUAGGUUAUCAAUCAAGCGCUUGGAAGGAUUGUUUGGCUUCCCCAGUGGAACGGGAUCUAAGCCCAAGUAUGACAGAGAAGAGUUGAAAGACUUGUGGAUCACCAUUGGCAGCUCUGUACCGCUGAAUUCUUCCCGGUCAAAGAGCAAUCAGAUACGCAGCCCUGUCAUCAGGUACUUCCAGCGUUAUAUAGCCAAUGUACUCUACUCGCGAGAGAUCACAGGGACUGUUACUAACUCUGAUAUGGAGAUGAUCGCAAUGGCCCUCAAGGAAAUUCUUCGCCAAACUAAGAAUGGUAUGUCUCUCCAAGGUGAAAUCAAUGACACACCUCUCUCUGUACAUCUUCUGAUCCAUCUGUAUGGAUACAAGAGCUGGGCUGUCAGCAAUAAUCAGAAGAGAGCACGAGGCGCUCUGUGCAUAGGUGGUGUUGUGACACCGAUUCUGAUAGCUUGUGGAGUCCCCAUCAUUUCUGCUGGACUCGAGCCGCGAGCCAUGGACAUCGAGCACCUACGUCACUGCGAAUUUCUGGAGUUUGCAAUGGUUGACGAUUUCCAUAGGUUCAGGUUUGAGCACUCUACAAACAGGAGAGCUACCAUCCUUCUCCCUAGCCCUAAGGUUACACGGAUAAUAGAGGGAGAUAAUAUUGAUUUUUGGCCUGAGGUUGGACACCUCUACUAUGAGAACGCUUUGCCAUUGGAUGAGGAUGAUCUUCUAGAAGAAGCUGCUUCGGGUGGGAUGGAUGAAGAUAGAGCAGUGGAGUUCGACACUAGCAUGUAUCACUUUGGUGAACAUGUACCUCCAGCGAGGCAGAGCAAGAGCUUGACUGAAGCUCAUAAGAACAACAGUAAAUUGCAGAAGUGGUGCAAGAAGCAGGACAAGCUGAUCGCCAAGUGUUUCAAGCUUCUAACAGAUAAGCUGAGUUGUUCCUCCUCCACCACUGCUAUUCCACAGGGACAACCUCCUCUGGAGAUGCCAUCGAGGAGAUUUAAUGAGCUUGCGCACAAGCCUUAGCUUAGCGAGCAGAGAGUCUGACAUGUCCAGGCUAGGCAUUCGUCAUUCGAGUCCCGGGAGCACAAGAGAAGAAGGAAGGCUACACUCACUAGACCUAGCAGCAGAUCACGCCUCAUUCACUCAAGGAGAUCACUCGACCGCGGCGCUGGCCGCAGCAGAAGGAAAGAGGUCGAGUAUCCUCAGAGCGGUAUUGGCCGCCACAGAGCUGAUGAGGUCGAGUACCCACCUGCUGGAGCUGAUAAAGAUAAGGUGGAUCGUCUAUAGCCUGGGAGCAAUCAGAGGCAGCAAUUGACGAGCAACUACGUUCAUUCUUUGACUGAGGUAAGCGCCUCACUUCACCAUUGUAUUAUAUCAUCUGUUGUGAUUUGUUUCUUCAUUUUUUGUUUUUGUGAUUGGAUUUGUCCUGAGUACUCUCUUCCAAGUUUAUUUGCACAGUGGACUGUGUGAUUUAAGUUUGGGGGAGGGCUCAGGAAGUGUGUGUUGCAUUGUGUAUAUUUUUGAGUCUGCAUUCAUCUAAGGCAUAGAAAAAACAAAAAAA
rnacentral:sRNA from 1 species